rnacentral:misc_RNA from 1 species
UGUCUUUUAGUUUGGGUUGCAUUAGUCUGGAAUCAAAAGCCCCUGCUGCCAAAUUUACCUGGGAGUUUGAUGUAAUCUGUAUAUGGGGUAUAACAUAUAUCAUAUGAUAAUGAUACUAUCGGCAAUCUUCCAGAGAUUCUUGGAAAUAUUCUACCUGAGUUGCUGCUUUUUAGUUGGCUGAGGACCUCACUCUGGCUUCAGUUUAAACCCCACCAGAUAGCUGCUGGAGCUGCAUAUCUGUCUGCCAAGCUAUUGAAUAUGGACUUUGCUCCUUAUCAAAAUAUCUUGCAAGAGUUCCAAGCAACGCCAGCUAUUCUCCAAGACGUCGCCCAGCAGUUGAUGGAGCUCUUCUAGAGGGAAAGCAAGUUAAAGAUGAAACCCAGUGUAGUGAAAUGAUGGGAAAGCAUUAACAUAUUUGUGAUUCUACGUCCAGUCUUCAAUAGUUAAAUUCUGACAGUUGCUUAGGUUAUAGUUGUGAGUAUGUUGGAAGGUUUAACAUGAAUGGUUCUCAUUCCCUUUCCUUGUUCAAGACAGUGC